GAUGGAAGAACGUAGCGAAAUGCGAUAAGUAAUGUGAAUUGCAGAAUUCAGUGAAUCAUCGAAUCUUUGAACGCACCUUGCACCCUUUGGCAUUCUGAAGGGUAUGCUCGUUUGAGUGUCAUUGUACUCUCACACUCCCGAUCUUUGCAUUGGGAGCAGUGGACUUGGGUUUGCUGCUUCACCGUCGCUUACCUCAAAUAGGUUAGUGCAACUCUUGGUUGGACAUAGUACGGCGUGAUAAGUGUUCUUCGCCGGUGCCUCGCAAAGAGGGUGGCCGAUCGGGAUGUUGUGCUCCAAACCGUCUUCGGACAAUCUCUGACGACUUGACCUCAAAUCGAGUAAGACUACCCGCUGAACUUAAGCAUAUCAAUAAGCGGAGGA
rnacentral:misc_RNA from 1 species